rnacentral:rRNA from 1 species
AUACGUAGGGGGCGAGCGUUGUCCGGAAUGAUUGGGCGUAAAGGGCGCGUAGGCGGCGCGGUAAGUCUGGAGUGAAAGUCCUGCUUUCAAGGUGGGAAUUGCUUUGGAUACUGCCGCGCUUGAGUGCAGGAGAGGUUAUCGGAAUUCCCGGUGUAGCGGUGAAAUGCGUAGAGAUCGGGAGGAACACCAGUGGCGAAGGCGGGUAACUGGACUGCAACUGACGCUGAGGCGCGAAAGUGUGGGGAGCAAACAGGAUUAGAUACCCUGGUAGUCCACGCUGUAAACGAUGAAUGCUAAGUGUAAGAGGUAUCGACCCCUUUUGUGCCGGAGUCAACACAAUAAGCAUUCCGCCUGGGGAGUACGGCCGCAAGGUUGAAACUCAAAUGAAUUGACGGGG